rnacentral:lncRNA from 1 species
GCUAAACCAGGUUGAAGUGAAGCUUCCCUGUAGCAGUGCUAAACCAGGUUGAAGUGAAGCUUCCCUGUAGCAGAGCUAAACCAGGUUGAAGUGAAGCUUCCCUGUAGCAGAGCUAAACCAGGUUGAAGUGUUGACUGGAGGUUGCAGGGCACCACCCUCUGCUGCUAUGUACUAAAGCAGUGGUCACCAACCUUUUCUGAGUCCAGACCAAUUUCUGAGUCCAAAAGCAAACCGCUCAGAUUUUUUAUUUACAUGACUUAAAAAAUGUAAGCCUAUGCAACAUUAACCAAUUAAAAACAGUACUGUAGUAAUGAGGUUUGUGCAGUAGGCUAUAGGCCCAAUACAUUAUCACUGUAUAUUGGCUAGGCUUGAAUUACCCUGCCAAUGUUGUUUUUCGCAGGACAUUCUAAAAUUAUAUUUCAACAUUGUAGGUAUAUGAUCAGACUGGUAAUAGAUAAUUUGAUGUAUUACUUGUGAGUGACAAAAUAAUAAUAUUUUUUGAUUUUACUGUACUGAUGGCCUGCAUCUGAUGGUCAGUCUGAGGGGAGGGAGGGAGCAGCGGUGAAGCAGCCUCUCAAACGACUCACCGUCCCUCCCUCCUCUGAGAAAAGGGUAAACAGUCUUCCAGCUGAUGGCAAAACUCAAAGUCGCACUGCAUUAUUUCUGCCUCAUGCACCCACGGCUGAGUGAGCAUAAUAAUUCGCUUUUUUUUUUUACUGUACUGAUGGCCUGCAUCUGAUGGUCAGUCUGAGGGGAGGGAGGGAGCAGCGGUGAAGCAGCCUCUCAAACGACUCACCAUCCCUCCUCUGAGAAAAGGGGACACAGUCUUCCAGCUGAUGGUGAAACUCAAGUCGCACCACAUUAUUUCUGCCUCAUGCACCAAUUCAUGCUGUUACUCCUAUGACCAGAGAAAGUGUCAUUUUCCUUGAUAUUGAAAAAGACACAAGCUGCUAAUAAUAACUAAGGCUUAUUAAAACACUUUCCUACUCAUUCAUUGCAGCUGCAGUGCUGGUUGUAGAAUGAGUGGAAGUAGGGAGAACACGCAUUUUAUGGUUUAUGAAAGUGUUGACGUUGCUGAAUAACAACUUAAACAUGUACUUAGUUGUAAAAACAGCAGCUCUUUGCUGUAUUCAUCGAGUCUCUCUCUCGAGUCAUGGUUUUAAGUGUUUUGAAAUCUCACAGUAUCAACUUUGCUGUGCAUUUGAGGCUUCUUUUUACAGCCUA